rnacentral:rRNA from 3 species
AGAGUUUGAUCAUGGCUCAGAUUGAACGCUGGCGGCAGGCCUAACACAUGCAAGUCGAACGGUAACAGGAAGCAGCUUGCUGCUUCGCUGACGAGUGGCGGACGGGUGAGUAAUGUCUGGGAAACUGCCUGAUGGAGGGGGAUAACUACUGGAAACGGUGGCUAAUACCGCAUAACGUCGCAAGACCAAAGAGGGGGACCUUCGGGCCUCUUGCCAUCAGAUGUGCCCAGAUGGGAUUAGCUAGUUGGUGAGGUAACGGCUCACCAAGGCGACGAUCCCUAGCUGGUCUGAGAGGAUGACCAGCCACACUGGAACUGAGACACGGUCCAGACUCCUACGGGAGGCAGCAGUGGGGAAUAUUGCACAAUGGGCGCAAGCCUGAUGCAGCCAUGCCGCGUGUAUGAAGAAGGCCUUCGGGUUGUAAAGUACUUUCAGCGGGGAGGAAGGUGUUGUGGUUAAUAACCACAGCAAUUGACGUUACCCGCAGAAGAAGCACCGGCUAACUCCGUGCCAGCAGCCGCGGUAAUACGGAGGGUGCAAGCGUUAAUCGGAAUUACUGGGCGUAAAGCGCACGCAGGCGGUCUGUCAAGUCGGAUGUGAAAUCCCCGGGCUCAACCUGGGAACUGCAUUCGAAACUGGCAGGCUUGAGUCUUGUAGAGGGGGGUAGAAUUCCAGGUGUAGCGGUGAAAUGCGUAGAGAUCUGGAGGAAUACCGGUGGCGAAGGCGGCCCCCUGGACAAAGACUGACGCUCAGGUGCGAAAGCGUGGGGAGCAAACAGGAUUAGAUACCCUGGUAGUCCACGCCGUAAACGAUGUCUACUUGGAGGUUGUGCCCUUGAGGCGUGGCUUCCGGAGCUAACGCGUUAAGUAGACCGCCUGGGGAGUACGGCCGCAAGGUUAAAACUCAAAUGAAUUGACGGGGGCCCGCACAAGCGGUGGAGCAUGUGGUUUAAUUCGAUGCAACGCGAAGAACCUUACCUGGUCUUGACAUCCACGGAAGUUUUCAGAGAUGAGAAUGUGCCUUCGGGAACCGUGAGACAGGUGCUGCAUGGCUGUCGUCAGCUCGUGUUGUGAAAUGUUGGGUUAAGUCCCGCAACGAGCGCAACCCUUAUCCUUUGUUGCCAGCGAUUAGGUCGGGAACUCAAAGGAGACUGCCAGUGAUAAACUGGAGGAAGGUGGGGAUGACGUCAAGUCAUCAUGGCCCUUACGACCAGGGCUACACACGUGCUACAAUGGCGCAUACAAAGAGAAGCGACCUCGCGAGAGCAAGCGGACCUCAUAAAGUGCGUCGUAGUCCGGAUUGGAGUCUGCAACUCGACUCCAUGAAGUCGGAAUCGCUAGUAAUCGUGGAUCAGAAUGCCACGGUGAAUACGUUCCCGGGCCUUGUACACACCGCCCGUCACACCAUGGGAGUGGGUUGCAAAAGAAGUAGGUAGCUUAACCUUCGGGAGGGCGCUUACCACUUUGUGAUUCAUGACUGGGGUGAAGUCGUAACAAGGUAACCGUAGGGGAACCUGCGGUUG